AGCAGUAGCCACGGUAAUACGAAGGGUGCAAGCGUUAAUCGGAAUUACUGGGCGUAAAGCGUGCGUAGGCGGUUUGUUAAGUCUGUCGUGAAAUUCCCGGGCUCAACCUGGGAAUGGCAAUGGAUACUGGCAAGCUAGAGUGUGUCAGAGGAUGGUGGAAUUCCCGGUGUAGCGGUGAAAUGCGUAAAGAUCGGGAGGAACAUCAGUGGCGAAGGCGGCCAUCUGGGACAACACUGACGCUGAGGCACGAAAGCGUGGCGAGCAAACAGGAUUAGAGACCCCUGUAGUCCCUGUCUCUUAUAC
rnacentral:rRNA from 1 species